CGAUGACUACAAAGAGCAA
rnacentral:snRNA from 1 species